rnacentral:rRNA from 1 species
AACGAACGCUGGCGGCAUGCCUAACACAUGCAAGUCGAACGAGACCUUCGGGUCUAGUGGCGCACGGGUGCGUAACGCGUGGGAACCUGCCUUUAGGUUCGGAAUAACUCAGAGAAAUUUGAGCUAAUACCGGAUGAUGUCUUCGGACCAAAGAUUUAUCGCCUUUAGAUGGGCCCGCGUUGGAUUAGCUAGUUGGGGGGGAAAAGGCCUACCAAGGCGACGAUCCAUAGCUGGUCUGAGAGGAUGAUCAGCCACACUGGGACUGAGACACGGCCCAGACUCCUACGGGAGGCAGGAGUGGGGAAUGUUGGAAAAUGGGCGAAAGCCUGAUCCAGCUAUGCCGGGUGAGUGAUGAAGGCCUUAGGGUUGUAAAGCUCUUUUACCCGAGAUGAUAAUGACAGUAUCGGGAGAAUAAGCGCCGGCUAACUCCGUG